GCAUACAGAGCAACGUUCGAUCGUGGGGUCAGGUUGGCUUUAUAAUAAAUACCGGUAUCCAGAGAGCGUCUUUCCGAUUCUAGAGUUCGAGUGUCAAAGUUGUUUCAACUAGUGAGUCAAAAAGCUUUGCAAAAUGCCUUCUCCUUGUGAUUCCUGCAAAGAAACCUGCGGAGACGGGCAGUCCAACUGCGGCAAAGACUGCAAAUGCGGAGACGACUGCAAGUGCUCCGCUGACGGCAAAGACUGCGGUUGCGCCGACGGCGGACAGGCCUGCGAAAGCACCGACUAAACAACCCCCAAGUUCCUUUUUAUUUAUAUUUUUUGUAGCAUUUUUACCCAUGUAUCACCCUAUUAACGCUUAUUGUAUUUAUUGCUGGUUUUGUGGAUCAGGCUAAUAAUGCGCAUUAAAUUUAAUGUUUUUAUUACAGUUUUUAGGAAAUAAAAUACAUUUCACUCA